AACGAACGCUGGCGGCGCGCCUAACACAUGCAAGUCGAACGAGAAUCCGGGGCAACCCGGUAGUAAAGUGGCAAACGGGUGAGGAAUACAUGGGUAACCUACCCUUGAGAAGGGAAUAACCCGCCGAAAGGUGAGCUAAUACCCUAUACGCUAUCUUUUUUUCGAAAAGGAUAGGAAAGCCGGGUCGAGGACCUGGUACUCAAGGAGGGGCUCAUGUCCUAUCAGCUUGUUGGUGGGGUAACGGCCUACCAAGGCUACGACGGGUAGCUGGUCUGAGAGGAUGAUCAGCCACACUGGCACUGAGAUACGGGCCAGACUCCUACGGGAGGCAGCAGUGAGGAAUAUUGCGCAAUGGGCGAAAGCCUGACGCAGCGACGCCGCGUGGGGGAUGAAGGUUUUCGGAUUGUAAACCCCUUUCAUGAGGAAAGAUAAAGUGGGUAACCACUUAGACGGUACCUCAAGAAGAAGCCACGGCUAACUUCGUGCCAGCAGCCGCGUUAAAGUGACUACUG
rnacentral:rRNA from 1 species